UCCAUUAGCACACAUAUUUAAUCUCUCACAUGGUCGCCAACUGAAGCUAAGCAUCGCUGUGCCUGGUCAGUACCUGGAUGGGAGACCACAUGGGAAAGCUAGGUUGCUGCUGGAA
rnacentral:rRNA from 1 species